GCUACAUAUAAUACAUGUCAAAUAUUUAUCUAAUACAUAUGCACAUACUACAUGCAUAUGCAUUUGUACAGGUGUGUUUUAGGCACCCAGGUCUCACUGCUUGCCAGAUAACAAAGUUCUUCCCUGUGGACCUCUACUUCCCCAUCUAUAAAAUGGGAGACUUCAUCCCCUUCAUCCCUGACCGUUUAUCUGAGUCUGUCUCAUGUAGAAGGUGGAGUAAAGUUGAUUGCGAAGCCGAGGAGGGCAGAUCGCUUGAGCUCAGGAAUUCGAGAUGAGCCUGGGCAACAUGGAGAAACACCAUCUCUACAAAAAAUAAAAAAGUUAGCGAGGUGUGGCGGUGCAUCUGUGGUCUCAGAGACUCAGGAGGCUGAGGUGAGCAAAGCAGAAAAUAGCACAUCAGAAGAUUGGCCUGGCCAUAGAAGCCAGGGAGGACGCUGGGCCGAGAUUCGAAGCCUGCAUAAGGGGGAUAAUUACGUCAGGUGUGGUGGCUCACGCCUGUAAUCCCAGCAGUUUGGGAGGCCGAGGCAGGCAGAUCACUUGAUCUGUCAGGAGUUAGAGACCAGCCUGGCCAACAUGGUGAAACCCUGCCUCUACUAAAACAAAAUUAGCCGGGCAUGGUGGUGUGCACCUGUAAUCCCAGCUACUUGGGAGGUUGAGACAAGAGAAUCACUUGAACCUGGGAGGUGGAGGUUGCAGUGAGCCAAGAUCAUGCCACUUCACUCCAGCCUGGAUGACAGAGCAAGAUUCCGUCUCUAAUAAUAAUAAUAAUAAUAAUAAUAAUAAUAAUAGGAAUAAUUAGGCAAACUGGGGGAAAAUAUGUUUCAGGAAAAGAAAACAGCAUAUGCCAGAGUCCUGUGGCUGGAGGACUCAUCAAGGGUACACAGGACAGAAAAAAAAGUUUAUAUACAUGGUAGGAAGCUAAAGAGACAAAGCAAGGGCUGGUCCACACAGGUCUUGUGAGUUAGUAAUUAGGAUUUGUAUCCAGAGGGUGAAGGGGAGCCAUGGCAGGUUUAAGCAGGAGGGUCUCAUGAUCAGAUUUGCAUUUUGAGAUCCCUCUGACUUCUGCAUGGGAUUUGUAGGGGGACAGAGGGAGUGCAGACAGACCUGUGAGAAGUGCUGCUGGGGUUGUGUGAACAAGAGAGGAUGCGGGCCUGGAUCAGGGGAUUGGUGAGAAGUGUGUGAAUUUAACAGAAAUUCAUUAGCUCAGAUGGGUGAUGGAAGUUCAGGAGAACUGCAUGAAGAACUCAUACACCCUUCUUUUGGGAUCUCCUUCAGGGCUGCCCUGCCAAGGCUCCCAGAUGCCCGCGGCCAUCACCAAUCAACUCCCCUGCUCGAGAUGGGGAGCAAAGAUUUGGUUUUAGGAAGCCACUAUUGUGGUGGACUGUGGCUCCCACCUGGGCCUGGCUUCCAGCCUGGAUUCCUCGCAGAGCCUGUCCAGGGCAGCCACAGGACGCAGGGACUCUCAGCCCUGCACACUCGGGGCUUCAAAGGCCACAGCAAAGGGGAGGCCCAGAAAGAGCUAUUUCAGGCUUCCUAUUUUUAAAGCCGGGGUCAGGGUGCCCUGCUCACCACCAACAUUUCCAGUACUGGAAGCUUCAAAAACUUCAACUCCCUCCAGCCCAGCACCAGAGACAGGCUCUGUGCACAGGGCUGUGCAGUGACCAUGGGCAGCCAGGAGAGAGGCCUCCAGCAUGGGUGGAGGAGGUUUUGGAGUGCCGUGGUGCAAGAAAAGCCAGAGAGGUUGACCACCAUGGGUGGGAUAGAGCCCUGGGUUCAAACCCAGCUUUUUCAUUUUCCACCAGCAUGGCCUUGAGCAAAUCAUCUCCCCCUUUCUGAGCCUCAGGGGCUCCCCUAGAAAAUGGGAAUAAGCCACAGGUGGUCAUAGGUGGAAGCGUGAGGACAUCAGCCAGCAAUCACUUAAUAAAUGCCUCCUGUGAGCCUGUCAUGGUACGCGGUGGUGGUAAUGCAAUUGUGAACAAGAUGUGCUUCACUGAGCUUUCAUUCUAACAGGGAAACCAACAUUAAAGAAAAAUUGAAGGCUGGGGGCCGUGGCUCAUACCUAUAAUCCCAGUGCUUUGGGAGACCGAGACGGGAAGAUUGCUUGAGCUGAGCCCAGGAGUUUGAGACUAGUCUGGGCAACACAGCGAGACCCCACCUCUACAAAAAAUAAAAAUAAAAAAUUAUCCGGGCAUGAUGGUGCACACCUGUAGUCCCAGCUACAUGGGAGGCUGAGCCAGGAGGAUCACCUGAGCUCAGGAGAUCAGGGCUCAGUGAGCUGUGAUGGCACCACUGCUCUCCAACCUGGGCAAGAGUGAGACCCUAUCUCUAAAAAGAAGAAUAUAGUUUGCCUCCUGAAUAUAUAAUAAUGAUGAAUAUAAAGUAUGCCUGGAAGAAAAGGAGGAUUUGGCCAAUAUGUGGACCAAUCUUUUUGACAGAAACUGCUAUCUCAGGAAAUGGCAGCGUGAGCCACCUGGUUGAUGUUUCCUAAUUCCUGGAUUAAUGGAGAGAAAGAAAAUUUAAGCCCAAUCCACUCAAAGUUGCCUUCUUUAGUGAAAAAAAGAAUAACAACUUUAUGAAGAAACAGCAUUAACUAUAAACUGGUCUUGGAAAAGGAACAUAUCACCCACCUAUUUUCAUGAAAGAUGCAGAAAGGCGAACAGUUUAAAGAAAUACAAAACCCAAAGGCAAUGGUAGCCAAGUGCAAUGGCUCACACCCAUAAUCCCAGCACUUUGGGAGGCUGAGACAGGAGGAUCACUUGAGCCCAGGAGUUCAAGAUCAGCCUGGACAACAUAGCAAGACCCUAUCUUGGCAAAGCAAUGGUUCUCAAACUUGGGUUUACAGUUGGGACACCCCUCCCUCCCAAAUUGUGAUUCAGUAGGUCUAGGGUAGGACUGAGAACUUGCAUUUCUUUUUAUUUAUUUAUUGAGACCCGUUCUCACUCUUUUGCCCAGGCUGGAGUGCAAUGGCGUGAUCAUAGCUCACUGCAGCCUUGAACUCCUAGGCUCAAGUGAUCCUCCCACCUCAGCCUCCUGAGUAGCUAGGACUACAGUUGUGCACCACCAUGCCCAGCUAAUUUUUUAUUUUUUAUAGAGAUGGGGUCUUACCAUGUUGUCCUGGCUGGUCUCGAAUUCCCGGCCUCAAGCGAUCCUCCCACCUCAGUUUCCCAAAGUGUUGGGAUUAUAGGCCUGAACCAAGGCUCCUGAUCGGAACUUGCAUUUCUAACAAGACCCCAGGUGAUGCCAGUGAUGCUGGUUUGUGGUUCACACACUGAGAACCGCGGCUUCAGGGAAGCUGGGAAUACCUUUGGAGAUUCACUAAUAUGAGCCCUGCUUCACUGAGUCUCUUUUCUCACAAGGGGAGACAGGAAGCCCUCGACAGCCUCUUAGGGGCAGAAGGGUCUGGUUUUCAGCUUCGUGCUGGGAGGAGCUUGGGGCAGCCUCUGAGCUCCUUCCCAUCCACAUCCCCAGCCAGCUGCUUCAUCACUUGGGAGGUGAUGGUCAACCUGCCCAGCACCUCAGUCCCACCUUGAUAGAAACCAAUUCCAUUGCUGUAGCAGAAGAUGGGUGGAGUGGAAAUCCAUAUUCCAGGGGAUUCUGAGGCAGGCAUCCCAUCCUGAGCACGCAUGGUUCUCCCCACUGGUUGAGAUCUUAUCUGAGAGAGAGAACGUGCUCCUCUCCACCUGUGUUUUUUUAAAACCCCACCACUCCGCUCACCUGGGUUGUCUUUGCUUUGAAGACUCACCCCUAGUGGUUUUCUUAUUUCAGCCCAGGGUGCACCAAAAAAGCAAGAAAAGUUUUGUUCCUCCCAUGUCAAGGUCCUGAGACUCACUCCACAGAAUGAUCCUGUUUUCCAGAAAAACUUGAAACACCCCAGAGGCCAGCGAUGGCCAAGGAAGUGCAGAAAACCCCUCUCCUAGGGCUGAUGACUGUGUUUUCAGCUUCUCCCGAGAUCAGUGACUGCAUCUCCACUUCUACUUUCCAAGGCCUCCCCACGGGUGGGGCAUUUUUUAGAGUCACUGCCAGUCAGGAGUGAGAGGGACAGAACACAGCACCCUUCGAGGACUCAUGAUGAUGAAAAGAGAAACUUCCUGGAAAUUAAAAAAAAAAUACAGAAAAGCACAAAGCAAAUGGCAACAAUUGCCUAAAUGGCCCAUACCACAAACUCAACAUUUUUUAAUAAUCUGGCAUGUUUUCCAGUCUUUUCUAUGUGCAUACUUCAAAAAAGUUAUGUAACUCAUGUAUCAAAAUCAUUAGCAUUUCGUUUAAAAAAGAAAAUUGGAUAGCAGCUAUGUUAAAUCUUUCUGAAAAAACAAACAUUACGUUGAUUUAUGUCUAUUGCUGGAUAAGCUGAAGGAAAGGUCAGCAAGCCAUGGCUUGUAGGACAAACCUGGCCGAUACUUCAUUUUAUACAACCCAUAAAAUACAAAUAGUUUUUACAUUUUUAAAUGGUUGGGGAAAAAUCAAAGGAAGAAACUCAUGUGUUCUCACUCAUAUGUGGGAGUUUAAAAAGUGGAUCUCAUGGAGGUAGAGAGUAGAUUGGUGAUUACCAGAGGCUGGGAAGGGAAGGUGGGGAGGGAAGGAUGAAAGAGAAGUUGGAUAAUGGUACAGAAAUACACUUAGAUAGAAGAAAUAAGUUCUUGUAUUCAGGCCGGGCACUGUGGCUGAUGCCUGUAAUCUCAGCACUUUGGGAGGCAGGGGCAGGUGGAUCGCUUGAGCUCAGGAGUUUGAGACCAGCCUGGGCAAUAUGGCAAGAUGCUG
rnacentral:lncRNA from 10 species